AUCCAGCUGACGAGUCUGAAACAGGAUGAAACAUGUGUCCUAGAU
rnacentral:hammerhead_ribozyme from 1 species